UUUUUUAGGUGACAACAAGUUUGAUCUGUAUCGCUUCAUAUGUGGCCUCUUUUCAAGCCAAACAAUGAUUUCAUUCCGAAUGCGCGGAAUGUCGCGGCGCAGAGACAGAGCGAAGGUAAAACAAACAGUAGUCCAAGAAAUUAUCAGCGGAAUUUGCUCUUUGGAUCUCAUUUGCAUAUGCAUAUUGGCUUUGUUUUGCGAUUCUCAUCGUCGUAAAAAUAUCGGAUGAUGACAGGUAUAUGUGUAUAUGUCCAUUGGAAUCGCGCGUUGUGCAACAACAAAUUUAUUCGCUCAAAAUUUUUCAUACCGUAUGCUUUAUUGUUUGACAACUGCUGUGUCAUCGUGAGUAUCAACGGAAGCGGAUACGUUGAUUCGUUGUCUGUGUAAACGGAGCUUUAGAAACCGCUGAAGAAACGUACCUUGGUUCUCGUCCGUCGUGUCUUUCAUCGUUUUUUGGCGCGAACAAAAAUUACUUUAAUCACAAAGAGAAGGUGCCUGAGA